UGCAAGUCGAACGCGUUGGCCCAAUUGAUUGAUGGUGCUUGCACCUGAUUGAUUUUGGUCGCCAACGAGUGGCGGACGGGUGAGUAACACGUAGGUAACCUGCCCAGAAGCGGGGGACAACAUUUGGAAACAGAUGCUAAUACCGCAUAACAGCGUUGUUCGCAUGAACAACGCUUAAAAGAUGGCUUCUCGCUAUCACUUCUGGAUGGACCUGCGGUGCAUUAGCUUGUUGGUGGGGUAACGGCCUACCAAGGCGAUGAUGCAUAGCCGAGUUGAGAGACUGAUCGGCCACAAUGGGACUGAGACACGGCCCAUACUCCUACGGGAGGCAGCAGUAGGGAAUCUUCCACAAUGGGCGCAAGCCUGAUGGAGCAACACCGCGUGAGUGAAGAAGGGUUUCGGCUCGUAAAGCUCUGUUGUUAAAGAAGAACACGUAUGAGAGUAACUGUUCAUACGUUGACGGUAUUUAACCAGAAAGUCACGGCUAACUACGUGCCAGCAGCCGCGGUAAUACGUAGGUGGCAAGCGUUAUCCGGAUUUAUUGGGCGUAAAGAGAGUGCAGGCGGUUUUCUAAGUCUGAUGUGAAAGCCUUCGGCUUAACCGGAGAAGUGCAUCGGAAACUGGAUAACUUGAGUGCAGAAGAGGGUAGUGGAACUCCAUGUGUAGCGGUGGAAUGCGUAGAUAUAUGGAAGAACACCAGUGGCGAAAGGCGGCUACCUGGUCUGCAACUGACGCUGAGACUCGAAAGCAUGGGUAGCGAACAGGAUUAGAUACCCUGGUAGUCCAUGCCGUAAACGAUGAGUGCUAGGUGUUGGAGGGUUUCCGCCCUUCAGUGCCGGAGCUAACGCAUUAAGCACUCCGCCUGGGGAGUACGACCGCAAGGUUGAAACUCAAAGGAAUUGACGGGGGCCCGCACAAGCGGUGGAGCAUGUGGUUUAAUUCGAAGCUACGCGAAGAACCUUACCAGGUCUUGACAUCUUGCGCCAACCCUAGAGAUAGGGCGUUUCCUUCGGGAACGCAAUGACAGGUGGUGCAUGGUCGUCGUCAGCUCGUGUCGUGAGAUGUUGGGUUAAGUCCCGCAACGAGCGCAACCCUUGUUACUAGUUGCCAGCAUUAAGUUGGGCACUCUAGUGAGACUGCCGGUGACAAACCGGAGGAAGGUGGGGACGACGUCAGAUCAUCAUGCCCCUUAUGACCUGGGCUACACACGUGCUACAAUGGACGGUACAACGAGUCGCGAACUCGCGAGGGCAAGCAAAUCUCUUAAAACCGUUCUCAGUUCGGACUGCAGGCUGCAACUCGCCUGCACGAAGUCGGAAUCGCUAGUAAUCGCGGAUCAGCAUGCCGCGGUGAAUACGUUCCCGGGCCUUGUACACACCGCCCGUCACACCAUGAGAGUUUGUAACACCCAAAGUCGGUGGGGUAACCUUUUAGGAGCCAGCCGCC
rnacentral:rRNA from 1 species